UACGGGGGGGCAAGCGUUGUUCGGAAUUACUGGGCGUAAAGGGCUCGUAGGUGGCCGACUAAGUCGGACGUGAAAUCCCUCAGCUUAACUGGGGAACUGCGUCCGAUACUGGAUGGCUUGAGUUUGGGAGAGGGAUGCGGAAUUCCAGGUGUAGCGGUGAAAUGCGUAGAUAUCUGGAGGAACACCGGUGGCGAAGGCGGCAUCCUGGACCAACACUGACACUGAGGAGCGAAAGCCAGGGGAGCAAACGGG
rnacentral:rRNA from 1 species